AGGCACUAAUAUCCUAGCCCAAGACGCCUUGCCAAGCCACACCCCCAAGGGAAUUCAGCAGUGAUAAAUAUUAAGCCAUAAGUGAAAACUUGACUUAGUUAGUGUUAAGAGGGCCGGUAAAACUCGUGCCAGCCACCGCGGUUAUACGAGAGGCCCCAGUUGUUAAAUACCGGCGUAAAGGGUGGUUAAGGAGAGCAAAGAUAUAGCCGAAGGGCCUCUUAGCCGUCAUACGCUUAUUGAGUGUCCGAAGCCCGAAAACGAAAGUAGCUUUAAUAUAGCCCACCUGACCCCACGAAAACUGAGAAACAAACUGGGAUUAGAUACCCCACUAUGCUCAGCCGUAAACCUAGACGUUACACCACAACAAACGUCCGCCAGGGUACUACGAGCGUCAGCUUAAAACCCAAAGGACUUGGCGGUGCCUUAGACCCCCCUAGAGGAGCCUGUUCUAGAACCGAUAAUCCCCGUUAAACCUCACCACUUCUAGUCAUUCCC
rnacentral:rRNA from 1 species